GAAUGUCAGCCACUUAUUUUAUUUUCGGAUGCUUCUUUCUAGGCACCACAGUGGCCUUGAUUUUUCCGCAACAUAAUUGCUCCGAAUAUUUUACGUAUGGCAUAGGACGAGGACGGGAGUAGCAUAGGCAUUUUCACGGCCAAAGAAACAACACGACCGCAAUUGAAUUUUAGUGUGAUUUUCGCAUGGAAAGGAUCUGCUGAUAUCGUGCCUAUAAGGAUGUAUCCCAAUACUUUUGAACUAUAUCAGAAUGUUCAAAUGGGUUUGCGUGCCCAAGCGUAUGUCAAAUUCGUUAACGUCACCGAAAUGAUGCCUAUGCCAGCUAGAUUCUAUUUUAACGAUGAGUUACUCUGCUUCAUAGAAUUACGAAGGGGGAUCGUACCAUAUCAAGGAAUAGCAAUGGAAUUAUCCAUACCCCUUCAGACUUUACGCAAUGUCCAAAAGUCUCGCCCGAAAAUGCACCCAAUCUUUCCGAGAAUACAACCCUCAAUCAACAUUGUAUAACGCAGAAUAUGUUAGGAACUGUAAAAAAAUUUCUAAAAACAUUUUCCUGCUUGAAAUAUAUGCCCCAAACAAAAAAAAAAGCAGUUCCCAAUUCAAAUGUGUCAAAUAUUGUAUUUCCUAUUGAAGGACAAAGA